rnacentral:pre_miRNA from 1 species
UGGUGAUGAUGAUGGUGAUGAUGAUGAUGAUGACGAUGACGACGUUCUCUCUCUCCUUGCACUCAUUUUUUUCAUCCUCUCUUCUUCCCACCCAUUCUCAUCAUCGUCAUCAUCGUCAUCAUCAUCUCCGUCA